rnacentral:rRNA from 1 species
UGAGGACGGAUCUGUCUCUUACAACUAAUCAGUGAAACUGAUCUUUCAGUACAAAAGCUGUAAUGACAACAUAAGACGAGAAGACCCUGUGGAGCUUUAAACCUACUAUAAACAAAACUAUAAACUGUUUUCAAACUAAUAAAAAGUUUUGAGUUGGGGCGACUUCGGAAUAAAACAAAACUUCCGAGCACAGAACCACUAAUUCUUACCAAGGCCAACAAGCCAAAGUGUAAAAGAACAGACCCAGUGACACUGAUCAACGAACCAAGUUACCCCAGGGAUAACAGCGCUAUCUUCUUCAAGAGUUCAUAUCGACCAGAAGGGUUACG